UACGAAGGGGACUAGCGGUGUUCGGAAUCACUGGGCGUAAAGCGCACGUAGGCGGGUUAAUAAGUCAGGGGUGAAAUCCCGGAGCUCAACUCCGGAACUGCCUUUGAUACUGUUGAUCUAGAGUCCGGAAGAGGUGAGUGGAAUUCCUAGUGUAGAGGUGAAAUUCGUAGAGAUUAGGAAGAACACCGGUGGCGAAGGCGGCUCACUGGUCCGGUACUGACGAUGAGGUGCGAAAGCGUGGGGAGCAAACAGG
rnacentral:rRNA from 1 species